rnacentral:rRNA from 1 species
UGGGGAAUCUUGCACAAUGGGCGAAAGCCUGAUGCAGCAACGCCGCGUGCGGGAAGACAGCCCUAGGGUUGUAAACCGCUUUCAGCAGGGAAGAAACUGACGGUACCUGCAGAAGAAGAUGCGGCCAACUACGUGCCAGCAGCCGCGGUGACACGUAGGCAUCAAGCGUUAUCCGGAUUUAUUGGGCGUAAAGAGCUCGUAGGCGGUUCGGUAAGUCGGGUGUGAAAACUCUGGGCUCAACCCAGAGAGGCCACUCGAUACUGCUGUGACUAGAGUGCGGUAGGGGAGCGGGGAAUUCCUGGUGUAGCGGUGAAAUGCGCAGAUAUCAGGAGGAACACCAGUGGCGAAGGCGCCGCUCUGGGCCGUAACUGACGCUGAGGAGCGAAAGCAUGGGUAGCAAACAGGAUUAGAUACCCUGGUAGUCCAUGCCGUAAACGUUGGGCACUAGGUGUGGGUCUCAACC